UUGAUGAGAUGAUCCAAAGGU
rnacentral:siRNA from 1 species